GCGACGCAUCCUUGAGGUUGGGCGUGGAUUUGAAAAUGUCCCUCGAGAGAUCCAUGGGUCGAAUAUCCGAAUCCAAGGCAUCCACCACGGCCUCCAGCGUGAGGAUCAACUCGGUCACGUAACCCUAAGGGGAGAGAGAAGAUGUCCGAAAGCAUCCGAGAAGAGAUGGGCACUCGAAGGGCUCUGUAUUAAAUAUCAAACCAGACCCAUUUUUGGCAAGGGCCUCGUAAAUUUCAUAUUAGAUGGAGCUGUACCUGAAUAUUUGCAACGAUCGUCCGGCGUAAUGUCGAGACGAGCAGGACAAGGCCAGAUGGAGUGACAAUUGCGACCAUCGCUCUGCCAGACGAGAAUGAGGCAAAGAUAACUCAAAGACCUGCAAAACAUGGGCCAGGAACACGUCGAUUUGCUCGGCACUGCGGAUGCUCCACACGUUGCGGGUGAUGUCCUCGUACUGCCAGAACGGUUGGCACUUUCUCGACGCGAUAAAAUGGAUCAGGGCCUUGGUCAGAUCUGCUACUGUCGGCGCAGAAUGGACUCCAUUUCCUGUUGUGGUACUCCCACGAUUUUUCCCGGUCGAUUCGUUGGUCUGAGACGCGAUUUGAACCGUGCUUCGACUGGUUGGCUCCUCGGACGUUUUACUGGAUUGGACCGACUCAUCUGAGCAAGGAAUAUACAUUUUACAUACACUGCAUCACUGCAUAUGGGUAAAGUACGUAUUAUAUGCAAGUAUGUAAAAGAAGUUUGUGCAUGCUCAUUUGAGGGUUUGAGUGUUCCUUUUUCAUUGAAUUAUAAGCCUCACCAUCUUCA